rnacentral:rRNA from 1 species
GACGAACGCUGGCGGCGUGCCUAAUACAUGCAAGUAGAACGCUGAAGGAGGAGCUUGCUCUUCUGGAUGAGUUGCGAACGGGUGAGUAACGCGUAGGUAACCUGCCUGGUAGCGGGGGAUAACUAUUGGAAACGAUAGCUAAUACCGCAUAACAGUAGAUGUUGCAUGACAUUUACUUAAAAGGUGCAAUUGCAUCACUACCAGAUGGACCUGCGUUGUAUUAGCUAGUUGGUGGGGUAACGGCUCACCAAGGCGACGAUACAUAGCCGACCUGAGAGGGUGAUCGGCCACACUGAGACUGAGACACGGCCCAGACUCCUACGGGAGGCAGCAGUAGGGAAUCUUCGGCAAUGGACGGAAGUCUGACCGAGCAACGCCGCGUGAGUGAAGAAGGUUUUCGGAUCGUAAAGCUCGGUUGUAAGAGAAGAACGAGUGUGAGAGUGGAAAGUUCACACUGUGACGGUAUCUUACCAGAAAGGGACGGCUAACUACGUG